rnacentral:rRNA from 1 species
UACGUAGGGGGCAAGCGUUGUCCGGAUUUAUUGGGCGUAAAGAGCGUGUAGGCGGCCUGGAAGGUCAGCUGUGAAAACUCGAGGCUCAACCUCGAGACGUCGGUUGAAACCACCUGGCUAGAGUCCGGAAGAGGAGAGUGGAAUUCCCGGUGUAGCGGUGAAAUGCGCAGAUAUCGGGAAGAACACCCGUGGCGAAGGCGGCUCUCUGGGACGGUAUUGACGCUAAGGCGCGAAAGCGUGGGGAGCAAACAGG